UACGUAGGGUGCGAGCGUUAAUCGGAAUUACUGGGCGUAAAGCGUGCGCAGGCGGUCUGUUAAGACCGAUGUGAAAUCCCCGGGCUUAACCUGGGAACUGCAUUGGUGACUGCAUCGCUCGAGUAUGGCAGAGGGGGGUAGAAUUCCACGUGUAGCAGUGAAAUGCGUAGAGAUGUGGAGGAAUACCGAUGGCGAAGGCAGCCCCCUGGGUCAAUACUGACGCUCAUGCACGAAAGCGUGGGGAGCAAACAGG
rnacentral:rRNA from 1 species